rnacentral:lncRNA from 10 species
GAUCAUGCCACUGCACUCCAGCCUAAACAACAGAGUGAGACUCUGUCUCAAAAAACGAAACAAAACAAAAAUCCCUCCAUAGUUCAUAUGGCAGGUGCAGCAUUGACCACAGUGCAGUCCAUUUGCCUUACAAUCUACUAGGAGAAAUAAUAGCACAACAAAUUAAUUCAGCAAGUAUUUGUUGAGUGCAUUUGUUCAAGGUAUGGAGAAACCAGGUGUAAAUGAGAGAUGAAGCCGCGUUCCUGGGAGUGACUAUGAGGUGAGCAUCACGUGUGUGGUGCCCAGCGCUGGAGGCCUUGCAGGGCCAAUCACGACCUCUCGGGAUGUCCAGAGAUGCUGCUACCACCCAAGCAGCCCCUCCCAGACUGGAGUGUCCAAAAACAAGUGAACAGCAGGCAGGCUGGCAUGGAAAUGGACAGAUGGGACUUGAAGGCAGGAACCUGGGUCCAGUCCUGGUCUCACCAUCACUAGGCCCACGACCUCUGUAAGACCCUCGCCUGCUCAGUCAGUUUCAUCGUUUGUAAAUAAGAAUACUGUUGAGCAGAGAGGUGCAGGUGAGAGAUUGUCCAAAAAUGCUUUGAAAAGGAUGCUAAGUAACAGUUAGCUUUUAUUAUCCCUAUGUUUCUGCUAAUCAAACCCAGGAUAGUUUUCUACAGCAAUCUGUGAGAGGCUCCAUUAUAUACUGUAUUUGAAUAUUCCAAACUACUCCUUUGCAGGAAGGAGUAAUUCUCUCACAUGCUCCUGCCUUGAGUGCUGAGUGGAGUUACAGAAGGUGAAGGGCCACAGAGGAGAAUGGCUGCCAGGCAUCUUUCCAUACCAGCUCCUUCUUUCCAUUCCUUCUUGGGCAUGGAUUUAUAUAGCACAUUAACAAAGAGCCAGGGAGGAAAGGAAGAAUUUCUAAACCCUUUGCUAGAAAUCCUCAAGUGUUUAGCUACACUGGAGCUACCCCAGGUGCUGCUACCCCAGGUCCUCUCUGUGACCCUGCCCCGUCUCUGCUGGCUGAACACCAUAUCUGAAUGACUGUGCCCUGACUACUGAGCUCCAAGGGUCUGGAAUGCCACUUCACAUCACAGGAUAACAAGGCAGCAGCUGUCCACCCCUCUGAGCACGCCUGGACAUCUGGCUGGUGUCUUUCCAAAGGUCUCCAUCCUGAGCAGUCCUCAAGCAAACACUCGAACCUCCUGUGGUGAACUCAGGCCAAGACUAUGUGCUUGACUGUCGGUGGCAGCUGCUGAGCUCCAGAUGACACGGGUCAUGAAGAGUUGGGCUUUUAUCUCAGUUCUUCAAACAACCAGAUCAGACGUAACAGGUUUAUGGAAGACACUUCCUAGCCAUCUUGUGAGCUCCUUGAAGGAACUGUGUCUUUAUCUGUAUAGCCCCACCUAGCAGAUGCUCAAGGCAUGCUUGUGGAAUGAAUAAGGGAACAGAUCAUUUCUUCUGAGCUGUUUGCAGUCUGGCUAAGCCAAUUGAAAGAAUGCCUUCUCUUGCAAUCUACAAAUUGAAAAGCCUGUGAGACCCUCAGGACACUCAGUUCUGUCCUACUGGUGGCGGAGUGGGACUCCUUCAUGAUGUGGCACAGUUUCCUUGAGUUUUAGGAAGAAACGGCCCAUGUGGCAGAUUCAGAAACAAUGAAUCAGCACCUAAACAAACAGGAAGAUUUGGCACAAAAAAGUUUGCUUCGGGCAACCAUUGCCAGCUCUAUCCAGACCUCCAAGGAAUGAAAAAACUGAAGAUCAGAGAGGUUGUAUAACUUGCCUAAGGUCAUAAAACUACUUAAUGAUGAAAAUUUAAAACCAAGUCUGUCUGACUCUGUAGCCAUGGUUCUCACUGUCUGGUCCCUGGACCAGCUGUAUCAGCACCUCCUGGGAACUCAUCAGAGACCUAAUGAGUCAGAAAUUUGGGGGGUCAGGUGGAGCCAUCUGUGUCCUGGCAAGCCUCAAGGUGAUUCUACUGGACACUCCCAACCAAGAACCACUGUUCCAGCACGUUCCCUUCAUCUCCACGCCAUGCUGCGUCUCCAACUUCCUGCUCUCCAAAGGCAAAACUCACCAUGAGGGAAUCAUCCAGAAAUAAAGUUGAUUUUCACUUCUCCCUGCAGAUGCUCCCAGGGAGUUAAAGGUGACUCUUCACUCCAGACUCUAAAUUUGACCCCCUUUCAGGCGGCCACCCCAGGUUCAUUAUCACACCAAUCAGCCAACUGUUUUGAGUAGAAAUCUCCUUUCCCACCCUGUAAGGAAUUCCAGGACACCGUCUAUGAAGAGGGAAAUCAUAACUUGGCUAUUUGUUCAGGACACCCCUACCCUCUUCCAGACCAGCAGCUCAUUGAGACACCUGCCCUCGAGAUACCACUUGACUACUGCCGCCAGUCGACAAUUAUUGAUCAAGUACUGUGUCAGGUCCUCUGCUAGGCCGUUUGAGACAUGUUAUCUCAAUUAAUCCUUACAACAACCCAAGAGGUAGACAUGAUUAUUAGCCCAUUUCAAAAACAAGAAAACUGAGGCACAGAUUAUUUGCCUAACUUCACUAGCUAAUAAAUUACUGAGAUGAGACUUAAACUCAGUUUGUCUCAAGAACCCCAUGGUCUUAUCCAGUAUGCCCUAUUGCCUGUUACGGGCCUUUGUCAAACAAGUCUUCUCUCUUGGUGCACUCCAGGCCAACUUUCUGUGUUCCAGCUUGAGAGUCCUCUUUGCAGCCAUGUGAAUCCAGUGUCUUCCUCUCGUUAAUCCUCUAGGACACCUCUGCCCAGCUUUCUUCCAUCCCCCCGCACCUGGCCAUUUCCCUCUGGAGCUGUUUCCUACUAGCUGGGCUCUCACCUCCCAGACACUUUUCCUUCCUUUAGACCAGCUUCAUCUCCUCUAUGUGCUGCUCAGCAUGGAAUAAAUUCUAUCUUUUUCCAAUUCCCAAUUUCUAAGGCAGGUUUUUUUUUUUUUUUAAUCUUACCAUCUCUGCUUUGACCAGACACUUGGUACAACUUCAAACAUUGUCGCCUGUGGUUUGGCUGCCUAACAAGGAGCUCUUGGCCCGCUUCGAAGCCAGCCUUCUUGAAGCCUGCCCUCACAUUUAGCGCCCUUAAUAUAGACUCUGUCUACCACAGAUCAGCGUGUACUGAGAAGAUAGAUCGGAAUCAGGGAGGAGGCUAUUUCAUUGCCUGGUGGUGGAACCAAUACUCAGUCUGGUGAUAUAAACUGAAAAAUGCAAAAGUGGGGAAGGCAAGGUGAAGAGCGAAGGCAGCUUCUCAGACUUGGCUCGUGAGUUCAUAGUAAGGCAUCUCCAACAAGAGUCUUGCAGCGGCCUCCUGGAGGGUCCCUUCCAUCCACAGUGAUUGGGGCACAGGCUGGCUCAACCAUAAAGGCAAACAGGAAACUCUGCCAGCAAAGGAAAAAGGAAGCUCUCAGAUUCCUGUUCCAAGCAGCCUUCUGGGAAGGACUUUAUCUUGGGGGAAAGUUUUACUAAAGGAAAUUUGACCUGAAGUUGCAAGUUUCCUUUGUUGAGAAAAGCAAAUAACAUGAAAGGGGAGAAAAGCAACAAGAUGAAAGAUUGGUCAUCACAGAUGCAGAUCUAAUCUCUGCCAUAAUAUAAACUGGAAGAACCUAGAACCCUGGGAGGUGAGAGUGGCAGGCGGUGGGGGGGUGACAUGAGCAGAAACAACAGACAAGACGAGGCUGACCUCCCACAGGGGCAGCGAGGGCCCUGGCUGACCAGAGAACAGGACGAAAUAAGGCUUUCCAGGGCAGGUUAGAGUCCUUUAGUAUCAGGAUGCAGUGUUUAUAAUCUCAUGGGCCAUGGAGAAUUCUGUGCUCUAAGCAUCUGGGAAAUGAGAUAAUCAAAGCAUAUAAAUAAUACCAGUCAACUUUUUUAAAAAACGGUCAGUAUUUUUAAACACAUAUUAAAAUCUUCUUGAGCCCUUUGCACAUAUUAACUAAUUUAAACCUCACAACAACCCUAUGAAAUACAUAACCAAUAUUAUCACUUCCCUUUAUAGGAGCACAGAAAGGUUAAGCACCUUGUUCAAGGUCACACAGUUUGUAAGGCUCAAAAGCAGGAUUUGAACGCAGGCCAUCUGGUACUAACGUCACUCCUCUUAACCACCAUACCUGACUGCAAAGCAGUCUCUAAAAUUAACGAAGUGUGAUAUGGUUUGGAUGCUUUGUUUCCUCCAAAUCUCAUGCUGAAAUGUGACCUCCCAUGGUGGUGGAGGUGGGGCCCGGUGGUAAGGACAGACCUCCCAUGAAUGGCCUGGUGCCCUCCUCGUGGUAAUGAGUUCUUGCUCUGCGGUCACAGGCAAUCUGGUUGUUUCAAAGAGUGUGGCACCUUCCUAGCCCUCUCUCAUCAUAGGAGGUACUGGCUCCCUCUUCACCUUCCUCCAUAAUCGAAAGCUUCCUGAGGCCUCACCAGCAGCAGAUCCCAGCACUAUGCUUCGCGUACGAACUGCAGAACUAAGUUUGGCAACUCUUGGGAUGGUAAAAGAGGAUAGCAGAAAGAAAACUGGGUUGGAAUCCUAACUCUAUGAUUGAAGAAGGGGAGCUGGGACCUUGAACCUCAUAAGGUGAUUAUAAGUAAUGAGAUAAUAUGCGUCUCUGGCACAUAGUAGAUGCUCAGUAAAUCAUUACACUAGCUCAUAUUCAUUGAUGUUUAUCAAGGGCUAAGUAUGUGCUAGGCCCUAGACAUAAAUCUCCUGAAUUGAAUUCAACCAGAUUAGAUCGAUUUUACACUCCUGCUUCGUUUCAG